GUUCUUACUCCGGUGACGGGCUCCACCCAAAACUGGAAAGGGAAGACUCUUUCUGAGGGUUUGAUAACUGAGGAUGAAAUAAACAGUCAUCAGGCAAAUUAACAGGAGAAAAAGUAUAAAAAUAUAUUAUGUGCAUGAAGGAAUCUCAGGAAAGAAAGCAAGGAUGGAGAGGACCCCAGUAAGCUUGGAAACCACAUAUUGAAAAUGGUGUCAUGGUUCCACUCAGCCUAAUACUCUGAGCAAAGAUGUGGAGGAGUGUUAAACUGGCAUGGUCAUCAUAG